CAAUAGCGUAUAUUAAAGUUGUUGCGGUUAAAAAGCUCGUAGUUGGAUUUCUGCCGAGGACGACCGGUCCGCCCUCUGGGUGUGUAUCUGGUUUGGCCUGGGCAUCUUCUUGGAGAACGUAGCUGCACUUGACUGUGUGGUGCGGUGUCCAGGACUUUUACUUUGAGGAAAUUAGAGUGUUUCAAGCAGGCACACGCUUUGAAUACAUUAGCAUGGAAUAAUAAGAUAGGACCUCGGUUCUAUUUUGUUGGUUUCUAGAGCUGAGGUAAUGAUUAAUAGGGAUAGUUGGGGGCAUUCGUAUUUAACUGUCAGACGUGAAAUUCUUGGAUUUGUUAAAGACGGACUACUGCGAAAGCAUUUGCCAAGAAUGUUUUCAUUGA
rnacentral:rRNA from 1 species